UUGACCUCGGAUCAGGUAGGAAGACCCGCUGAACUUAAGCAUAUCAAUAAGCGGAGGAAAAGAAACCAACAGGGAUUGCCCUAGUAACGGCGAGUGAAGCGGCAACAGCUCAAAUUUGAAAUCUGGCUUCGGCCCGAGUUGUAAUUUGCAGAGGAAGCUUUAGGCGCGGCACCUUCUGAGUCCCCUGGAACGGGGCGCCAUAGAGGGUGAGAGCCCCGUAUAGUUGGAUGCCUAGCCUGUGUAAAGCUCCUUCGACGAGUCGAGUAGUUUGGGAAUGCUGCUCAAAAUGGGAGGUAAAUUUCUUCUAAAGCUAAAUACCGGCCAGAGACCGAUAGCGCACAAGUAGAGUGAUCGAAAGAUGAAAAGCACUUUGAAAAGAGGGUUAAAUAGCACGUGAAAUUGUUGAAAGGGAAGCGCUUGUGACCAGACUUGCGCCGGGCGGAUCAUCCGGUGUUCUCACCGGUGCACUCCGCCCGGCUCAGGCCAGCAUCGGUUCUCGCGGGGGGAUAAAGGUCCUGGGAACGUAGCUCCUCCGGGAGUGUUAUAGCCCGGGGCGUAAUGCCCUCGCGGGGACCGAGGUUCGCGCAUCU
rnacentral:rRNA from 1 species